GAGAAAUGCAAUCAUAACUGCUAUCAGUGAUGAAAAGCGAUCAUUUUUAUAAUUACUCAGUAAUAAACUUUAAUAUGCUUUCUCAUGGAAGAAUAACAAUGGAGUCAUUGACUGCUGUUGGUCUCUGAACUGGUGCUCAGGAAACUGCACUAAAUGGUACCUAAUGACCUUAGGGAGUUAAUGAUCCCCGAAGUUCUGAAGAAUCAGAUAUUGGAUCUCACGAGGUUUCCUCAAACUAUUUUAGGAAUGCAAGAACAAAAUGUUUGGCCAGCUCUCUUUUGUUGAUUUGCCCCAGCGAGUGGGGUUGGUAAUAAUUGCACCUUACAAUUCCAACUGGAAGAUGGGUCUUUGUGAUUAUGGAGACUUGUGUGACCAAAUGUAUUCUACACCAAGGAUCAUGAAUAUCCGAAGGAUAUUUCUAGAAUUUCUCUCAGUUACCAUAUAAGAAGAAAAGUAAUUCCAGUGACAUGAAAAUAUGAAACCCUACAUUGGAAGUCUGGAUGUUAGGAAUGGAAUUUUGGCUCCAAGAGACCUGUGCUGAAGCACACGCCAGCUUGCCAAUCAAAAUUUGGAAAAGAAAAAUGCAUAAAUUAAGGCUACUCUAUCAAACCUCAGUGGUCUUCACAAUAUAUAAGAGAGCAAGACAAAUGAGAAAACUUCUCUUGAACUCAUUUUGUCAAGUGGAUACAAUGGCGUAAAUGAGAUGAUCCUAGCGAAUGAAUACACAUGGAACAAAGCGUUACCUCCUAAAAACUAAAGAAACACUCUCACAUUAAAGAAAAACCGCUGCCUGCUUAUUCACUAACUACCGAGUUAAAUGUGUUAUAAUUCUAAUCAUGAAAAUGAUAUAUUUAGUGUUGACUUUUAUAGUGUCAGUAAAUAUAUUUUCAAAUCCAAUCACAAACUAAUUAUGAGCACAAAUACCCAAUAAAUGCCCUAAGUCUAUCA
rnacentral:lncRNA from 1 species